GUCGGGCCCCCAGGCCCCAGGCCAGUGUCCAUCAGCCAGGUGCUCAGCUCCCAGUGCGCUGAAGCUCAGACCCUUCCUGGCACCCUGGUGUCCAGCACUGAGCUGUGUGAGCUUUUCCACCCAGGUGGGCCCCCUGGCAUUGACCGACAUAGAUGAUGAGACUGGAGGAAGACUUCCAUUGGGCCCACUUUUCCUGGGCCAGUGUCCAUCAGCCAGGUGCUCAGCCCCUGGUGUACUGAAGCUCCAGCCUUUCCUGGUGCCCCAGUCUUCUGCACUAAGCUGUGUGAGCUCUUCCACCCAGGAGGGCCCCUUGGCAUUGACUGGCAUAGAUGGUGAGACGGGAGGAAGACUUGUGUUGGGCCUGCUGUUCCUGGGCCAGUGGCCAUCAGCCUGUUGCCCAGCCCCUGAGGCGCUGAAGCUCAGGCCCUUCCUCACACCCUGGUCUCCUGCACUAGCUGUG
rnacentral:lncRNA from 1 species